rnacentral:rRNA from 1 species
GACGAACGCUGGCGGCGUGCUUAACACAUGCAAGUCGAGCGGGGAUUUGGGGCUUCGGCUCCGGAUUCUAGCGGCGGACGGGUGAGUAACGCGUGAACAAUCUGUCCCAGACAGGGGGAUAACACUUGGAAACAGGUGCUAAUACCGCAUAAGACCACGAGCUCGCAUGGGCUUGAGGUAAAAGGAGCAAUCCGGUUUGGGGUGAGUUCGCGUCCGAUUAGCUAGUUGGUGAGGUAACGGCCCACCAAGGCGACGACCGGUAGCCGACCUGAGAGGGUGAUCGGCCACAUUGGAACUGAGACACGGUCCAA